GAAGGAAGGAUGUUUUGAAAUUUGCAGCAUGAUCCAAAUUGGGACGCUUGGCAACCGAUUCAUGCUUAUGACGGUUGCAGUGACCCAGGGUUACAUGAUUCCCCUUUUCCGACCUUCCGACAGGCCAAGUGUACGGGGGAAGCCAGAGUCACUAGCUUAUCGUCAACUGCACUGAUUCGCUGGAAGACCGUGGCCAGAAAGAGCUCAACACAAGAGAUCGGAGAAGAGUUUGAAGAUAGCGUGAUUUACAGUAUUUCUCUCCGGAAAGUUCAGCUCCAUCACGCGGCCAACAAAGGCCAGCGAUGGCUGGGGUUUGAGAACGAGUCAGCCUUAAACCUCUACGAGACGUGCAAAGUGCGGACGAUCAAAGCCGGCACCCUGGAGAAGCUGGUGGAAUACCUGGUCUCGGCCUUCAAAGGCAACGAUUCCACCUACGUGACCAUCUUCCUCUGCACCUACCGGGCCUUCGCCACCACCAAGCAGGUCCUGGAUCUUCUACUCAA